rnacentral:rRNA from 1 species
UACGUAGGGUGCGAGCGUCGUCCGGAAUUAUUGGGCGUAAAGAGCUCGUAGGCGGUUUGUUGCGUCGGCUGUGAAAACCUGCGGCUUAACUGUGGGCUUGCAGUCGAUACGGGCAGACUUGAGUUCGGCAGGGGAGACUGGAAUUCCUGGUGUAGCGGUGAAAUGCGCAGAUAUCAGGAGGAACACCGGUGGCGAAGGCGGGUCUCUGGGCCGAUACUGACGCUGAGGAGCGAAAGCGUGGGGAGCGAACAGG